rnacentral:rRNA from 1 species
AGUGAACGCUGGCGGUAGGCCUAACACAUGCAAGUCGAACGGCAGCACAGUAAGAGCUUGCUCUUACGGGUGGCGAGUGGCGGACGGGUGAGGAAUACAUCGGAAUCUACUUUUUCGUGGGGAUAACGUAGGGAAACUUACGCUAAUACCGCAUACGACCUACGGGUGAAAGCAGGGGAUCUUCGGACCUUGCGCGAUUGAAUGAGCCGAUGUCGGAUUAGCUAGUUGGCGGGGUAAAGGCCCACCAAGGCGACGAUCCGUAGCUGGUCUGAGAGGAUGAUCAGCCACACUGGAACUGAGACACGGUCCAGACUCCUACGGGAGGCAGCAGUGGGGAAUAUUGGACAAUGGGCGCAAGCCUGAUCCAGCCAUACCGCGUGGGUGAAGAAGGCCUUCGGGUUGUAAAGCCCUUUUGUUGGGAAAGAAAAGCAGCAGGUUAAUACCCCGCUGUUCUGACGGUACCCAAAGAAUAGGCACCGGCUAACUUCGUG